rnacentral:lncRNA from 1 species
GUGAGCUCCUCUUCCUUGUGGGUCUCGAUGACGAGGUCCGACUGCGGGUAGGCGGCGCAGGUGAGCACCCACCCGGCGGCGACCUGGUCGUCGUCCAGGAAGCUCUGGUCCGACUGGUCCACCUCGCCGGAGACCACCUUGCCGGCGCACGACGAGCAGGAACCAGCCCGGCACGAGUAGGGCAGGUCGAUGCCUUCUUCCUCGGCGUGGUCCAGGAUGUACACGUCGUCGGGGACCUCCAGAUCCACCUCCCCCUCCGGCGUCACCAGCUUCACCUUGUACGUCGCCUGCGCACGAAGCCUCAUGCCCCUCGCCGACGGCGCCGUCAGCGGGAGCACCACACGGGACGAGACGGCCGAGGAAGGUGGAGGGGCGGCUGUGAAGAGGGAGAGGCUGCUCAGCGCGGUGGUCGCCAUUAUUGCAGCUGUGUAAGCUUUCUUGCGAGGAGGAGGAUGGUGUUGGAGAGUGUAUGCAGUAAGCUCUAGCUGGACUGGAGGGGAUGAUGAAGAAGAAGAAGCAGAGGAUGUCCUAGAGGGUGCCACGUGGCCCCUGCAGGUGCUCAGGCUUAUCCUUAAGCUCGGAGCGACCACGGCCACACGAUGAAGGGAUGGACGUCGAUCCACGAGGGCGUGUGGAGGCCAUGCGAUGUAUCCAAUGCGAUUUUGAUCGAUGCACGGCGGCCGUCACAUUUUGGUUUGAGUCAAGCUAGAGAACCUGAUAUGCUGUAAAUUCUUCUAUCUAUAAAUAUUUCGCGACUGGUUUUAGCGAUAGCGAUCAGUCGAUCGAGUGAGUCUAAAUUUCAGUCAGAAAAGAAAAAAAAUCACAAUGAUUUUAGCGAUCAGUCCGUCAUGUGUGACCGGACGAGAAGCCAAGAAGUACACCAGGUUUCACAUUCACAUCAAAAACAGACAAAAAAACUCGAGAUGGAAGCGAUCGUGCCGAGAGUGUGAGCAAAGAUCGCCUUAGUAGACAGUCAGCGGUCUCUCCUCCUCUUGGUCACGCAAAUGGACUUUAAAUUGAGCAGGUCAUGGAAUCCUUCGCUCGGGAACAAUGAACAUGAAAUGCCUUAAAAUUACAAUGCUCCGACCUUCAGUGCAGCUCACCUUUCGUGAGAAGUAAGGCUCCACCAAUCACCGCUGGCGAUGGCACUAGGCAUAUCAUGUCAAGAACAUGUCGAUGAGGCCGGGGAGAAAUGGCAGGACGGACGUCAUGGAGGAGCAGUGGGUGGCGCUAACCCUAGCAACACAAGCUAGGGACAAGGGCAUGUGUAGGCCAUGCGAUGUAUCCUGCGGGGGAGCGAUGGAUGGCCGGCCGGCCAAUGGGGAUGCAUGGUGGCCACCGCAUUUUGGAUCAGUUGAGUGAAGCCACAGAUCUCAUACACUGUUCUGUAAAAAUCUUCUAACCAGAAAUAUUGUUUCGACCGGUGUUAGCGAGAGCGAUCAGUCGACCGAGUGAGUCUAAUUUCAUACAGAGAAUUAUGCAGUUGUUUUUAGCGAGCAAUCAGUCCAUCGUGGCGAUUGGAUGAGAAACAAAGGAGUACAUUGGGCACAAGGUUUGACGUCUAGAUCAGAAACAAUAAAAAAACAUUGAGGUGGAAGCGAUUGGUCUCUCCUCCUCUUAGUUGCACAAGGACUUUAAAUUGAGCAAGCCUUUCAAUGAACAUGAAAUGCCUCGGAAUCACGAUGCUCCUACCUUAAGCGAGAAGCAGCACCAAUCAUUGCUGGCACUGGGUAGAUUGUGUCCAGAACAUGUCCACAAGGCCUAGGAGAAAUGGCAGGCUGGGCAUAAUGGAGGAGUAGUGGCCGGCGCUAACCCUAGCAGCACGUGCAAGGGGAAAGGGUCCGCGGCGGGGAUGCAUGUGGCGUAAGUCGACGGGUCGAGAGAUAUGCGAAGAAAACCUUAAGGAGCACUGAUCAAUCUAGGGAAACCAUGCGGGAUGCCAAUCGAUUCAUAAAAAAAAACGUGUGGUGGGUGCCGAUAGAACUAGGGUAAACCGUGCGGGAGGGUUGCCAAUCAAUCUAGGAAAAAUUGUAGCGGGAAGCAUGCGAGGGGUUCGGAACGAUGUAGAAAAAGCCAUGUUUUUUUUCUGAAAAAAGAAGAGGGGAUAAGCUCAUUGUACCAAGAGAAAAUUGAACUCGCAUCACUAACUCGCAUCACUACUUCGUAGCUAGUAAAAAUACCAUCAUUGCAGAGACACAUCACACACCUGCUGGCUCAACCAUCAAAUCCAUUAAUUUCAGUACGUACAUAAAUACUAGCAGCAGCAGCAGUAAUUUGACCGUAUGGAUCGAUCUCAGGCAGGGGUAGUACAAAAAAGAGGAACACAUAAUAUUACUUGAGCAUUUCAUUCAAGCUCGCUCGCACAGCAGCAACCAAAUCGAUGCACGAUAAGAUCCAUGGAGCUUAGAGAGAUUAUGAUAUCAUCAGACACUCUUGCAAAAGCUGAAGACUAAAAACUUAGGCGGUGAGCUCUUCUUCCUUGUGCGUCUCGAUGACGAGGUCGGACUUGGGGUAUGCGUGGCAGGUGAGCACCCACCCGGCCUCCAUCUGGUCGUCGUCGAGGAAGCUCUGGUCCGACUGGUCCACCUCGCCGGAGAUCACCUUGCCGGCGCACGACGAGCACGACCCGGCCCUGCACGAGUAGGGCAGGUCGAUCCCUUCUUCCUCGAAGUGGUCAAGGAUGUACACGUCGUCGGGGACCUCCAUCUCCACCUCCCCCUCCGGCGUCACCAGCUUCACCUUGUACGUCGCCUGAGCACGGAGCCGGAUGGCCCUCGCCGACGGCGUCAGGGGAAGCGCCACGCGGGAUGGGGCGACGAUUGGGGACGGCGCGGGGGCGGCGGAUGUGAAGAGGGAGAAGGGCGCGCGGAGGCUGCUCAGGGCGGUCGCCAUUGCUGCUGAGAGCUGAGAGCUUGCUUGCUUGCUUGUGUGGUGUGAGGAAGAAGAAGGAGGAUGAGCUAGGGGAUGGAUGAAGAGGGGGGAUAAGUAAGUAAAGGGGGGGGCUGUGUGCCACGUGGCGGGACGUGGGUGGGGGGCUUAUCUUGGAGCGAGGAGCGUCACACGAUGCUCAUCCUCGUCGGCGCCGGGGGGCGUGUGGCUGCCCGGCGACAUCCCGUGAUCUCUCUCGCUUUCUCUUUUUUUUUUGACAAAGAAGGCAGCCUAGUUUCUGCUGGGCCUUUUCCGGCCCAAUUACUAACUAACUACUUCGGUUGCUCGGCUUUCCUUCCAGGCCCGCUAAGCGAAGCCGACGGCAGAUGCAGCCGUGGGCUGGCCGGGGAAUAUGCCGAGUUUUGGGCGGGUUAUUUUUUUUUCCUUUGAUGCGAAUAUGCCUUUUUUUUUUCUUGCAACAAGUCUGAACUUUUAUUUCUACGGACAAGUCUUGUAACUAGUACACGCGGAGAGACUUUUUUGAGUUUUGACGCGAGUUUCUGUUUGACUGACUUGUUCUCUGCGUCCAUUCGAUUUAAUUUAUCGAGACUUUUUCUGUGACAGCUAAAUAUCGAGACUUUGUUGCGGGGUUCUUUUUCGUACCAUUGCUUUCCACGCAUUUAUUAAUUUAUGUGAAUGGAGAAAACGUCUUAAAUCUAUAAUAUCUAUAAAGUUGAUCUUCACUAUUUUUGUUUGCAAGCUUGACAUAUAAGAUGUCUACAUCAUACGCAUGCAUAGUCUCCACAUCACCAUCCACAUCAUGUGUUGUAAAUCACUAGGAAUCCAUUUUGGUGGUCUUUUUGAAUGUCAUAUUUUGAUACUUAGGAUUGUCAACUUAACGUUCUAUAUAAAUAUUUCGCCAAAUACACAUAUUUUCAUGACAUUAUCAAUCUUUUUAAGAUCUGCAAACACACAUAUUUUGAUGUUCAUGUACAUCAAAAUUAUUCCUAUUGUUUUGCUCCAUAGGUGUUAUGAAUGAUAAAAUCAUUUUGUCCUACAAUAUUUAUAUUUCUUUUGCAUUUAACCAUAUUAUUAUCAUGUGUUCCUAACGUCAUAUCCAGAUGUGCAUCUAGAACUUUCCGCGGCAACGCGCGGGGAUCACCUAGUUAUUACUGUUUGCAAUCCAUAUAUAAAGCGAAGAUAUAUAAAGCAAAAAAAAAACAUCACCUAGUUAUUACUGUUUGCGGGGAUCCACACCGUAAUAAUAACCUAAACGAACAUAUAUAACAAUCCAUGUGGGCAGAAAAAAACAUACAUGAGACAUAUAUAAAGCGACGUCAUCAGCUAUCUACUCCAAUUAUCCAACUGUUAAUCUGCUACCUAGAUCGCUUACAUAUGCAGGCCGUUGCAUGUGCCGUGCUAUAUCACGAAGAUCCAAGACAUAAUACGUGAUCUAGACAGACAUGUAGCUGCUCUCUGUCCUUUCUUACUGAUCAAGGAACAUUUAUAAAAUUAAAAUGUUCUCAUCAGUUCCUGCUGAUUGUCUUGAGACAUUAGCAACCGGUUAAUGAUAAAGAAUGGAAAUCAACGGGGGUCGUCAUCAGAUGCAGAAUCUCUUGUAUGCUUAGCUUGUGGAUUACUACUGUAAUAAAUGCGCGUGGCGUAAAGUUUGCACCAAAUCACACAGCGACAAACGGUCAGACAUUGCGUACAUGCAUCCAUGUAUCCCUUCAUUUGACCACAUAAAGCAGUAUUACCUCCGUCCAAUAAUAACGGGGUGUAUUAGCUUUCCUUUGAUCUAUGGUUUGACCACAAAUUAUUCUAAUAAUAUAUAAUUAUAAGGCGUAAGUUGAUAUCCAUUAUAUUUCUAUUCAACGAUAUUUGAUUAUGGUUAUGACUUUGAUCACAUUAGUCACAUAUUAAUAGAGUAAUUUGUGAUCAAAGGCGAAGUACUACAACAGCUAAUACACACUUAUGUUUAAUUAAUUAAAACAGACUUGAUGCUUCCCCUCUACACUUUUCCCCCUGAUUAGUUCCAGCUGCUCCUUCCGAGUAAUUCAAAUACAUCUGCUGUAGUUACCGUUCCUCGCUAUUUGGAUUGAUCGAUUGACUGAUUGAUUAAGGUGUGUGCACGUAAGAAGGUCAAUUAAUUGAUUAACUGACUAAGAUCCGUGUGUUUUGGUCUAGCCAUGCAUGAUUUUCACUUUGCUUGCAAGCAAGCAGAUAGCUAGCUAGGCAGUAUUUCGUGCCUCCCAUGCCAUGCAUCUUGGUUUUCCCAGGCCAAAAAACUGUCUGUCUGUCCGUCUGUCAGGCAGCAAGGGGAAUGGUCGAAUAUUGAACCGGUCAUGCACGGGGUAACUGACGACGCUAGAACACGCAGUAUAUCGUACCACGCACGUCUGCUUCUUCUAUUUUGACAAAAAAUAGCAAAGAUAUUUCUUGUUUUUCCCCUCUUCUCAUUCAUGUUUUCUUGGCAUGCUCUUUCUUUUGGUAUGUGGCAAUAAUGAGCUUAUCCGAGUUAGGAUAAGGUUAGCACAGCCACAAUAUUAAUCAAUACUAUUAGUAUAUCGUCUGGUAGUAAUGUGUUGUUAAGUCAUGAUGGUGGAGAACAACAACACACGCUUUGUUAGUUAGAAUGGCCAGCCAGCUAGCUCAGUUGAAUGCCCUUCAAUCUAUGAUUGAUUUGCGUAUGCAUAUUUCUGUUGAAGCCGUCAUAUAUAUGGCGUGGCAGCUGCAUAUGCAAGAGCUAGUGUCCAACAAACAAGAACCAACCAGACCCAAAGCGUGUCGGCGCCGAUAGCCCGUUCUGCCGUUCCCUUGCGUGGCACGACACGGUAACCAAUCAAAAUCCAUAUCAUUUUUUCCUUUCUCAUAAAAAAUGUCUAGUACAGUCGCAAAAAAAAUAAAUGUUUAGUGCUAUAUACUCCUACUCCUUCCUAAAUAUCAUAAGUUUUUCCUACUAAGUUAUAGUUUUGUCUGUCUUAAAUCAAACUUCUUCAAGUUAUAUAUCUUCAUAGUAUGUCCAUUUAAUAUUGUUGAUCUCAGUAGAUUUUAUUUAACUUAGAACGACACGGACACAAUUUCUUAUACUCGUAGUACUAGUACUAUUUGGGAACGAAGCUGGUACUUAGAGUAUUUUUUUUUCGUGAUUCAAGUAUUUUUAUUGAGUGCCUUAAUGAACUCCAUUUUUCAUUUUCGACUCCGAUGUGGCAUGGGCUUUGCCGCAAGAAAAAAAAACAUCGAAAAAAUGGAAAAAAAGAAAGGAAAAGGAAACGGUAAAGUGUGAAAAGGUUUUAAAAAUGCCAGCGUGGGGUCCACCCAGUUUGAGGUUGACGACGACAAGUAGUUGCAGCAGCAGAGGAGUAUUUCUUUCUCCCUUCCGUGCGCCCAAAUUUCUCCUCUCCCCCCUUCCUUCCUGCUCUCUCUUCUUCGCCAUUCGGGACCUCUUUCUUCUCCAAUCUCGCUACUAACUCCUCUCCGAUCAACCGGUCCAGAGACGGAGGCGCAGCAGACGCACCGAGGUAACACGGAGAUCCAUCCCGCCCAACCAUCUUCUCCUGCCCCCCCUCUCAUGAUUUCUGGUGUUUCUGUUGGUUGUUCUUGUUAUGGGAUUGGAUUCGGUUGGAGCUUGGAAGAACACGCGCGCCGUACAUGCAUUCGGCAACGACAGCGGGGGUUUAUUUCCGAUUUCAAGACCCAAGAACGGAUUUUUGGGACGGAUUUGGGGAUUGGGAUGUUUCUGUCUUCCGUGCCGUCGACUCCCGCCCACCUCUGUUGACUUGGACCUCCGGCCCUUUAAUUUUUUUAUUUUAGGAUUUUUGUUCGGGGGAUUUGUUCUUGUAGUAGUACUAGCUCUUUAUUUUUUUUGGAUCAUUGGGAUUUGGAAGGGACAGCCUGGCCUUCGGGUUGAUCGCCAACGCCCCCGCCUUCGAUUUCACCAACCUUCUUCUUCUUGUUGGUGCGAUUCAAGUUUCAGGCUCCCGAUUUGCUCAGCGUUUCUGACCAUCUGCGCCUCGAUUUGCUAGGUCAAUGCUUGCUCGAUUCCAACCUUCGUGAGCAGUAGUGAUCAAUGGAUGCAUCCCAUUUUCUUUCUCUUUCAAAUUUGUUGACUUGGGAUUUUACUCUAUCUUUUGUUCUCCUGUCGGUUGGUUGGUUUGCUUGUAUUGACCCAGUAAUGGAUGGAUACUAAUGGCGUGCUGCUUGGCUGAACUGGUCAGGCGAAGGCGACCGCCAACCACCCCGGAGGAGAUCUGAGACCCGACCGACCGCCGCCUGCUGGAGGGGGAAGCUGGUGGAGCAGCAGGAAGGGCCGUAUGCUUGUCGCAGGCCAUGUGCCCGGACAUGAAUCCGCGCCAUACAGCAAGGUAGUCUAGUGUUUGAUUCCAGGAAUAUCGCCAUACUGUGUUAUGAAUUUUGUGUCCCAAUUCAUAGUCAUAGGUUCCAUGGGAUGCUCAGGAAGGGCUCUGUAUCAAUGAAAUUUCCUGUAUCAAUAAGCCAAUUGUAGUCUCGGACACCUGGUAUAUGCAGAACCAGAAACUUGCUUAGCCUUUAAUUCAUUAGUGUCGUCUGUUAAACAAUGGAAUGGAAGUUCCUUUAGUUUUCUGGUUUCUGGUCUUGCACGCCUGAAACGUCGGUCAACUCUUCGACACUAACCUGAUGCUGUGUUUGGGUAAACCUGAAUGAAGAUAUUUUGUUUAUUUCUCCGGUCACCUAACCCUGUGGAUAUUUGAUUUUGGACAACCUGGUUUGGUAGAGAAGUGCCCUUGAGGCAAGGGAACUUCCUCAUCAGAUAUUUGUGUCUUUGACUGUGUCUGUGUUUUCUAAAUCCCAUUCUGACCCGGUCUUCUUUUCGUACUGGCAGUCAAGUUGAAUCAGAGGUUCUAGACGGUAAUCGUAACCAUCACAGCCAGCUUGAUGCUGAUCAUCUUGUACAAAUUGGGAGGAGUCCUAUCAAGCGUGGUAGCAACAAUCUGUCCACAGACGACAAUUUCUCCUCGAGUGCCUCUUUGCAUAAACAUGAACAUGUGAGCUCCGAUCCAUCGGCCCCUAAGGCCGAUGACCGCUCAAUUAAGUCUGGUGAUGAUUCUGAUGGGGCUGAGAGUACCAAUGGCAAAAGCAACAAUACGGACUCCCCAGGUACUGAAAAUGAUAGCAUCUGGAUACCACCUGAAGCUGCAGACAAGGGAGAUGAGACCGAGAGUAACAUUGCUUAUGAUGACGACGAUGACGAUUAUGGUGAUGGAAUCAAGUGGGGCCAGUCAAGUUUCCCAGCCGCUGGUGAGGAACACGAGGCCAGCCCCAAUCCUAAGGAUGAGCGAGAAAAUGCAAUGUUGGAAGCUAUGAAUGGACAACUCAAGAUACUCGUGAGUCGGUUUUUGGCCUCUGCUGGUAUCCCCUUUGGAAAAGGAGAGAGUAGUGAGAGUUGGCUCGAUAUUGUGACCUCCCUGUCGUGGGAAGCUGCACUACUUAUCAAACCUGAUUCUACCAUCGGAAAGGAAAUGGACCCUGGCUCUUAUAUCAAGGUCAAAUGUGUAGCAUCUGGUACUCGCUGGCAAAGGUGACACAUUUGUUCACUUAAAGGUUUUUUAAAAUAUAAUGUAUUCUAUCUGCGUGUUUGGUUAUACACGUUCACUUCAUAACCUUGACUGCAGUGAGGUGAUCAAGGGAUUAGUCUUCAAGAAGAACACUGCUCAUAAGCACAUGCCGACCAGUUGUCACAAUCCUAGGCUGCUACUACUGGAAGGAGUCCUGGGGCACUCUGAUGUUGGUUUAUCAUCGUUUAAUUCAAUGAAUCAGGUUGGUCCUUUCAUAUACAUAUGCACAUUGAAUUGUUUAUAGUAAACGCCGUUUAUUUUUGUUGGAUAGAAGAUUAAGACAUCUGUUCCGUGCCUUUAACAAUUAGGAAAAGGACCAUCUGGAGAGGACUAUAAGUAAGGUGAUUGAUAUAUGCAGUCCCAAUGUUAUCAUGGUUGAGAAAACUGUUUCACGAGACAUACAAGAACUUCUAUUAAGACAAGGGUGUACACUAAUUCUUGAUAUGAAGCUCAGCCGGUUGCAAAGAAUUGCACGCUGUACGGGUUCUCCUAUAAUAUCAUUUCCAGAAGUUCUGGAUAAACCGAAGCUGAAGCAGUGUGACUACUUCCAUAUUGAAAAAUUCAUUGAAGAACACAACGAUGCCAGUGAAGGUGGGAAAAGACUGUCUAAAACAUUAAUGUUCUUGGAAGGAUUUCCCAGGCCAUUGGGUUGCACGGUAUGUCUACCUAACUAGUAUUACAUGUAUGAUGCAUUUUAUACAUUUUCAGUUCCAUUCUUAUUUUUUCCCUAAGAUUGUUUAUUUUCCUCCAAAAGCAAAAUAAAUAAACUAUGCCACGGAGUAUUUUUCCUAUGUCUUUUCUUCCCUGAAAUCUCCCCAACCAAAGCAUCCCUUUGUAUGGAAGUGAAAUCCAUAACCAGAAGUUGUUCCAGCUUACUGUGGACAUGUCUAUUACUUCGACCAGUUAUUACUUCUUAAUAGCUGGCUUGUAGACUGUAAUUAAACAUCUUCUCUAUUCGAGUGGUGUGUGGCCAUAAAAUUUUACGGUUUGACUAAUAAGGCAGAGAACCAAGGUGAUUACAACUUGGCAGGAGCUAGAUACACUUAUGGUGCUUUAAAGUAACAAACCUGGUUUUGUUUGUGGUGAGAUCCAUAGUAGUGGUAUGUGCUUUUAUCAAUUAUUACGAUGAGUGAAUACCAAUUGAUAGUGAUAUAUUCCUGCAUAUUAGUUACAUUCCACUGAACAAAUAGUAAGUGACAGACCAAAUUGUGUUUCAUGGAUUGUUAAAUUAUCUGAGUGACAAUGGUUCCUUUCUCAUCCAGAUACUGCUCCGUGGAGCAAAUACUGAAGAAUUGAAGAAAGUCAAGCAAGUCAUGCACUACACAGUCUUUGCAGCAUACCACUUGAUCCUCGAAACGUCUUUCUUUGAAGAUCAGCGGGUAUUCUUAAAUGAUAAAAAUGUUUCCAAAGAAAAUUAUGUCACCGCUAUGGUAGGGCCUUCAGCAAUUGGUGAUGAUACGGCUGUUCUGGGUUGUGCCAUCCCUCCUUCACAUGAUGAUUCUCCAGCACUUAAAUUAUACCAUGCCACUUCUAAUAUCUAUGCGGAUGGGAAGAAAUCUCUCAGUUAUACAAAUGUAGAUGCUCCAGUUUCAAUAACAAACAGCUCUUUGGAUGAACUUGGAGAAGGUGCAAAUGUCCGGCAUAGCUCAACAUCACCCCUUCACACUGGAAGGCUACCACCACCAGUAUCAGGACCAUUAAGAAAAUUUGCUGACAAGUUACAUCGUCAUAAUAUUUAUUUACCUGUCACAUCAUUCCAAGAAACAACUGAUAAUAAAAUAGAAGGCAGGGUUGAAUCUAGGAAAGAGAUGGUUAGUAAUGGAUUUCAUGUUGGGUCAAAGGUGGAAGAGUCUGCAGCUUCCAGUGAAAUUUUGGAUGACACGAAAGAUCUCUUAAAACAAGAAAGGAUCCAAGAAGUAAUGCCAUCAGGUUCUUCUGGGCAUGGCAAACAUGAGGAAUCAUCCGCUAUGGCUGAAGAUGGGGAACAUCACAGCACCAGUAUCAUCAGCAAUGGGAACAUUUCUAACGAAGAUCAAGCCGAUGAUGCACUUGAUUCUGACAGUAUACUGAUUUUGAUGUCUAGCCAAUGCAUCACAAAGCAGAUUAUAUGUCUCCCGAGCCAACUGUGCCGUAUAAAAUACUACGGGAACUUUGAUUUGUCCUUGGGGCGAUAUUUGCAAGACAUUUUGCAGAAUCAGGUAACAACAGUUUACCACUUCUUCGUUUGUUCACACAUUGUUCUUAUUUACACUGAAUAUUAUAUUUUUGUGCUAGUAAUGUACAUUUUAUUUCGGCUCCAUUGAUACUCUUUUUUGCGAUGUUAUUUGGCUCACUAAUAUUUAUUCGUACUAGAAAGCAAGCUGCUCAUCUUGUCAAGAGCCUCCAGAGGCUCACAUAUAUUCUUACACUCAUCAAAAUGGGAAUUUGACUGUUCAAUCAAAGAAUUUGGUGUCCCAACAUCGCUUACCUGGCGAAUCCGAAGGAAAAAUAUGGAUGUGGACUAGAUGCUUGAGAUGUGAACAUGAACAUGGGACAUCUAAAUCGACUCCUAGAGUGUUAAUAUCAUCUGAAGCGCGCAAUCUCUCUUUUGGGAAAUUCCUGGAACUCAGUUUUUCAAGUCACUCCGCAGCGAGAAGGCUAUCCAUAUGUGGGCAUUUGGUGAACAGGGACUGCUUGCGUUUUUUUGGGUACGCUCGAUGUACUUUUCACAUCAAACAAAAUUAUUUUUUGGCUGCCUUUAGAUGUAACUAUUUCUUUAAUGAUAAUUUCUUUUUCUUACUGACUUCAGGUUGGGCUCCAAAGUUGCAAUGUUCCGCUACUCCUCAGUAGAAAUUUACACUACCUGCAAACCACCACCCACCCUCCACUUCGACAACCCUAGCAGACAGAAUUGGUUUGAAAAAGAGAGGAUACAUGUAUGUCUUAAUACUCUCUACCAUUACCAUCUCAUAGUUGUCUCCAGUACAUGCAUAGUAAUACUUUUUUUUUUGCACUUUCAAAGAUUCUUGCUAGAGGUAUGAAACUUUUUUCUGAGGUAGCAACCUUGCUACAACUCUUGAAGAAUCAGCAUCAUGAUGUGACAGCAACCAGUUGUGGCACAUUUGACCCUGUUAAGGACUUCUCUGAACUCGAAGAGUUGUUGAUGAAAGAAAAGGCCGAUUUUGAGGUAGGCAUCCUUGUCUUAAUUUCUUUUAGACUGGAACUUUGUAUGCCAAUGAAUUUGUUAUGUUUAAUUUAUAUUUAUGGGUUACUAUCUUUAUUUUUAUGCAGGAUUCAUUAGUAAAGACAAUCAACCAAAAUGGGAGAUCAUCCUCAUCUGUGCAUGAGCUUCUUAAUAUAAAUUGGUCUUACCAGGAUGUUCUACUUGAACUUUAUGUAUGGGACCGUCGGCUCGACGAACUUUCUAUGUGUAAAUCUGCUGGGCAAGGGAGUGUUGGUAAUAGCAAUAAUCCUAGCGGAACUGCAGACAAGAUUUCUGGGGCCAACUACGAGAUUGACAAGAAAAUUGGUGAACUGACGUGUGAUAGAACUAUGACAGCUGUGAGGUCAGAUGGUACCACUGAUUGCACUGAUUGCACAAGUAACAAUAUUCCCAUUGACCAUCAAUCUGGUGAGACCGCAGCACACUUGCUUGAUGAUAGUCAGGGAGCUGGCAACUCUGAACCUUCUUGCAGUGAAGGUAGUAAAGAUGAAGGAUCUCGAUCUCUCAUUGCUCCUGAUCAAGUAGAGGUAGAGAGCACGCCACAAAACCAAAAAGUACCUUCACUUGAAGUUUCAAGUCAUACAGAGGUCCAGGGUAACGGGGUAGUUGCACAUCCAGUUUCCAAGGAACAAGAGCCUUCAAGCACUCUCCAGAAGUUCAGAAGUACUGAUUGGGAUGACAGUGAUAGAUGGAUUUGGAGUUCAUUUUGUGAGUCUCAACUGGCUUACAGGAAGGACAUUCAAAUGGGAUGUUUGGAGAAAUUUUAUCUUGUUAACCAUUACUCCCCAUCUCACCUCUCCCCCUUGUUUGAAAAACAUGAGGAGGUGGACACUCCUCAGUUCACAGUUGGCCCCGGUGGUAAUAUUUUAUGUGUAUUGGAGCAUGAGGUAUCUAGUAUAAUAGCUCGUGCUCUCGCCAUAUCUGAGGAACGUAGGCAGGAUACCAUAGUCGAGAACGAGACGGGGGAGGGCAGGGUGGAGCAUGGUAAAACGAUGGAGAAAUCCUAUAGCUUUUUCUCUGAAGGUUCUUUUAGCUCGUCACCAUGGUCAUCUAUUGGAUCAUUAGAUUCUGAAGCAAGCUUUUCAUCUUCUAUUUCGUCAUAUCCAUCUGACGACCUCUCUGGUUAUGAUACCUUGCCUUUAUUGUCCUUGGUACACCCAGAAAUCACUGUGAACGGAAAAGUAACUCUCAGAGGCAAAUAUUCGGUUACUAGUAUAUAUUCGAACCAAUUCUACCUUCUUCGAAAGAAGUGCUGCCCAUCUGAGCUUGCAUAUAUUACUUCCUUAAGCCGCUGUAAGAAGUGGGACGCUCAAGGUGGAAAGAGUAAGGCUUUAUUUGCAAAGACAUUGGAUGACAGGUUCAUCAUAAAGCAAAUCAAGAAAACAGAGUUUGAGUCCUUCAUAACAUUUGCCCCUGAUUACUUCAAGCAUGCUUACCAUUCUCUAGACACUGGCAGCCAAACUUGCCUUGCCAAAAUAUUAGGAAUCUAUCAGGUAGGUUUUUUUGACAACUGAUUUCUAUUCGAUUUAUUUCCUGACUUCUAUUGGGUUUUCAUAUGACUUGUUGUUUCAGGUCAAGCAAAUAAGGCAUGGCAAAGAGAUCAAAAUGGAUCUGAUGGUGAUGGAAAAUCUCAUGUUUGGGCACAAUAUUUCACGAAUUUAUGACCUUAAAGGUGCUAUUUUUUCACGACACAUCGCCAAAUCAAAUGACCCUGACACUGUUUACUUGGAUCAAAACUAUGUUGAGGACAUGCGUGUAUCUCCGAUCUAUAUUGGUGGAAGAACGAAGCAUCUUUUGCAGCGUGCAAUCUGGAAUGACACAUCAUUCCUCACUGUAUGUAUAAUGCAUAUCCUAUAUCUGCAGAUAAUCAUGUUUUCAAAUAAAUAUAUGUCCUAACAAAAUUAUUGUACUUGCAGUCAGUUAACGUUAUGGACUAUUCUCUGCUUGUGGGAGUGGACAAAGAAAAGAAUGAACUUGUGUUUGGCAUCAUUGAUUAUUUGAGGCAAUAUACUUGGGACAAACAGCUGGAGACAUGGGUCAAGAGUUCUUUGGUUCGAAAAAAUGUUUCACCGACUGUAAUUUCACCCAAGGAUUACAAGAAAAGGUUUAGAAAGUUCAUGGCCAAGUACUUCCUCACAGUUCCGGAUACUUGGAGUCCCGAGAAUUCUUCUGGGCCAUACAAAUCCUUUGGCCAUAGCAAUAGCAAGUUGGUAGAAGCCGAUAAUGAUGACAACCUGCUUCAGCAUCCAAUUGAAGCUGAGGCAUGUGUCUAGUUCUGUUCAGGCUGGCAUGUGUCUAGGCUAUUCAGGACUCCUCUGACAGUGCUGUUGAAGCCUAUCCAGUCGUCGUCGUUGUUGUUUCUUUGGCUUGUUUUCGCUUUGUAAAAUUGUGUACAUAUGAGGGCCUCACAAUUGACCUUUCCAGAAGUUUGCACCUUUUAGGCAGAUUACUGGGCAAGUGAGGCCCACAGUACAUGUACCUAUACAAAUGUAAAUUGUUGAUUUCACAAUUAUUAUAGUGAAAUUUACAAAAUUGGUAUGAUUUUUUUGGGAUCUACUAGGCUGAAGCCUUUUCUACUUGCUUAAUUAUUUCUUAUAAUGCCUGACACGGCUAACCGUCCAUGUUGGACUUCUGAUCUCUGUUCAAAUUUGAUCAGUUUGAUCCGUAUUUGACUUUCAUUACUCCGCUAUAGUUACAUUCAUGGAAAUGGCCAAUUUAAUGCCUCUUGAUCUUACUGCACACCUUAUGAAGAACAUUUUGUUGUCAGAUGGACAUUGUCUAUUUUGUUGUGUGCACCCAGUCACUACAAUUUUGCAGAUCUGCUGGUAUGAUAUGUACUGCUUACUUUCUUUCAUCAAUCAGUUCCACGUAUUAUUUAAAAUGAGUGAAAUCAAGUUAAACUUGUUUGUUCCAAGUUUGUUCCUUGAAUUUUGUUGUAAUAUGUGUUUAUGCCCCAAUCUCUCUUAUGAUAUCAAGAAACAGAAUAUAAUUUGAUUCCUGUUUGUUUUCAGGAAAUAACUCACUGGGGAGGACACCACUCUUUAUAAGUCCUGCAUCACAUAGUAGCUGCCUGGUGACAUGCCUCAUCUAUGCAGUUGGUCUAUGACUCUAUGUUCUAUACUUUAUUGCUAUAUAACACUUGAUAUUUUAUAUUCUCAGCUUUGACGAGGCAAAUUGUUAGUAGAUCCUAAAAUUAACUAUUUAUUUAAUUUACACAGUACACACUUUGCUGAUAAGGGAUGCUCCAAAGUAAUGCUCCAGUUCCUUUUCUAGAACCACUGGUUAUUUAAAUUGGUGCAUUUUCAGGAGAAUUAUCUAGCAUCCUGUAAUGCAAUUUCUGAUUGAUCAGAUAAUUGAUGGAAAGAACUUUCUGUGUAUUCACUUAGCAGUCUGGCUGAUACUUAACAUCUACUAGUGUGUGCAAUCCAUAGUCUGGACCAUGAACAUCGGCAGGAAGGGAUUCCUGCAAAUGAACAUGUGAGACCUCGGUGAGUUAGUUCAUUUUAAGCUUUCUUAUUUUCUACCCUUGCAAAACUUUGUUGACUAAUCCACAUAACCCUUUGUUGAACUUUAUAGUGCGUAGCACAUUUUUCUGCAGCUAUAAUCUUAUCAUACUAUCUUAUAAAAAUUCCUGAUGAAUGUUAAACAUGUGUUUUUAUCAUUUGGCUGCAUUGGUGGAAUGGUAGAUAGUAACAGUAUACAUUUCCAAGAAAUGUGGUAUUUGAAUAUAGUCCCAUUGAUCUUCCCAAAGAGUUGCAGUGUGUGCGUGCUUCUUUCCGAGAGUCCUAUAUUUGCAUUUAUUUUUCACUGAUUGUUUCAGUGAGUAUGAAACUAUGAAUUCAUAUGCAGUGUCGCUUGUGAAGUUGGCUUUGCAGCAUUUAUCUCAAGACAUUCCUUUUUCCCUGUCAUUUUAUUACUAACGCCGUCCAAACAUAACGAGCACAAUGCAAAACCACCUUCGCCCACUUUUCCAAUUGGAGUUGCUAUUUGUGUCUUAAUACAAUUCUUUUUUUGCUUCCAAAAUGGCACAUAUACUGUUGUUAUAUAUGUGUGUGUUCAUGCUAAACUUUCUAGCUCAUGCCUUGUGAUCAGGAGAUUAUGUGUUGUCACAAUGUGCUUGAGAGACAUUCUUGGGCAUGUCGUGCCACUUGCAUCUUUGUUUUCAUGACUGAUGAAUACACUGGGUUACGUGACAGAUGAACUCAUGUUAGUUUUUCGAGCAGAGUCUACCUCUUGCUCAUUUGCGAGCAGUACUGAUUUGAAUAAAUGAUAGUACAGUACCUCAGAAGUCAGAGCACUGCUUGGAACAGGCGGUAAUUUGCUUCAACUGUAAUCUACACAUAUAGUCACAUCCGCUGAAUCUUACAUAGUUAACUUUUAAACAUGAAUAUAAGAAAUUGUUGACACUUCCUUCCCUAUAGUAGCAAGAGGCAGUAGUCUGCUAUUGUACCAAUCAUCAGUCAAGGAGGUAAUCCACAAGAAUGGGGUUGGCAUGCAUCUCUUUUCUCCUUUUCACUUUUGCAGGAGGGCAUCAAAUACAUUGGCAGUAAGAGUAUGACCAGAGGGAGGACUUUUAGAUCAUUGCAGAGUGGCUCAUCAUGAUUGCGUGGAUUCUAUGCAAGUCUUGUCAUUGAGAGGGAGGUUACAAAAGGAUUGUCUGGAGAAGGUGAUAAUCUGUGUAAUGAUGCUGAUCCUAACAUCACUGAUUCAUAUAGAUUGGCACACCAUAUUUUUUUUGAAAGAGAGAGAUUGGCUCACUAUAUUUUGAAUUCUGGAUUUAGGAUUGUAAUAAGGAAUGAGUUUUCUCUCGUACAUCUUUGAGAUUUCAUUAAUCAUUUUUUUUUGCAGUGCUACUCUCAGUCUGUUUGAAGUUCCCAUUAACUGCCGAUUUUGAACAGUAAGCAUUCAUCCUAGGUGCUAAUUUUAUUACACUGCACUGCAAACUCUUUCAAUAGCUCUUUCAAUAGCUGAAUGCUUUGUAGGAAUAAUGUCGCAUUAGAUUUUUCUCAUUUCAUUUUUGAAUUUUUUUUGUUUAGUAGCUAAUGAUGAAUUGAUCAAAUCUGAAGAGAGAACUGUGGCAUGGCACUGAUGUUUUCUUGGUUGCAGAUCCUGCUUUAGCAAAAAGCAGUUGGUGUCGCCAUUUCAGUAUAAGGGAUUCGAUUUGGUCGAUUUAUGCUCAGCUUUUUCCUGGUACUGGCAGAAGCUGCCUGAACCCCAAAGUAUGGAGCAUGGAUUAUGCUGCUGCUUACCAUCAUUUCUCUACUGUAUAACCCUGUAAAGCAGCUCAAAUCAAUCAAUUUUGCAUUGCAGCAGUUGAGGGCAUUCUCCUUUUUCCUGGAACCGAUGCCUUCGAGUUCAAGGUGAUCAUCAUGUCCCAAUUCCAGAAGGCGAUCUCAUGAUUCUACAACCAAAACGAUGACUGCUGUCGGAGAUCAUAUGGAGAAUCAUGUCAGGUAACUCGUUUUUUUUUUCAAAGCCACACUAAGGUGUGUAUUGUCCCUAAUUCCUUGCCUUGUCAUCUUCUCUAUUUGUAGUAAAAUAAUCAAUCUUUACUCUGCCAGUCGCCAUGGCAACUAGUGGAGUGAUCAAUGAUAAGGAAGGUGAUUAGCCUACCACCAAAGAACAAAAAGAAGACGCAAAAGAUGACAAGCACAAGAGUUCAUUUUAACACCCCUAGUUGCACCCUUUUUGUCUCUGUCCAACAAGCUGCCCACAUCUCCACAGCACUUUUCCAGUUACAGAAAAGGGCAAAGAGUCGCUUCCCUUUUCCAAUGCAGAUUCUUCCUUUCACUAUCAACCAUUAUAUCAUUCAUCCAUGGAAGAAACUCCGCCUAGAUCAAUGCAUUAAAAAUUACUACACAUAUUCUGAUUCUGAUGCUCAUAAUAGGUAGGCCUAAGCACAAACUGCCUGCCAUCACCAUUGCUGCUUAAAGAAGACACGAUGCAAAGAUGAUAGACACACACACUAGCUGGCUAGCUGCUAUGGUAGCUAGAGAGAGUAGCUAGAUUACCCAAUCACAAAAGCAAAAAACACCUACAUUUUUCUUAAAAUUGUUAGCCUAGUUGUACUAUCUACCAUGCCCUGUUUGUUUCUGCUAAUAGCUGCUGCAAACUCCGAUCAGCUUCAGCGAUGGCUGCACAGGUCAGACAGCAUCUUCCUGCCUUCCACAAUCUCAUCAAAGAAGUCAUCCAGUUCGCCGACGACACUCUCCGCACCUGACUGCAGCACCCCAACCCAGCCUUUGAUGAUCUCCACCCUCUCGGCGAUCUCACCGGGGUCGGCAUACCCUGUGGCGAUGACCCUGUCGAACUCUGCCUUGAGGCUCUCGAUGCCGGCCCUGGCCUGCCGGAACUCGUACAUCAUGACGCCAGAGCCAGAGUGCUGCCCGGCUACUGCCUCCAUCUCCUCGGCGACGCGCUGGCGCAGGCGCCCCAUGGAGGAGACGUAGCCAGCACCCGUGGCACGGAACAUGGGCGCACAGCCAAGGUCCGGGAGGCAGGAGACCGUCCCAGAGAUGAGGAUCAUGAGGAGGAAGGAGCUGGCGUUGCGCAGCGCGUAGAGCACGCCCCGGAAACCGUUGAAGGCGUUGAGCUUGAACUCCACGGGCGACCGGUCGUCGAGCAGCAGCGACGCUGGGUCGAUCCUAGCCUCCGCAAGCGCCCGGUUCUCCUGCUCCAGCCCAACAGCCUGCCGCCUUGGCGCGUUGAUCGCACGCAUCACCUGCCAGCCAGUAGGUGUCAAUGAUGUGAUCAGAAUCAGAUAUAUUCAGAUCAAUAGAGGCAGGGGGGGAUCGUCGAUCGGACUGUACCUGACGGGCUGUGUGUGGGUUGGGGCUGCAGAGCCAGUCGUCGAAGGCGGCAUCGAUGCGGGUGGCGGAAGCGCAGUAGGUGUCCAGCGCGGUGGCGCCGGCCUUGACGACCUGGCAGGCCUCCCAUAGCCGGGAGGUCUCGUCCAUGUACUCGUCCAGCCAGCUCUCACCGGGCGGCAGGUGGAGCCGCUGCACCAGGUGGACGAGCUGCGAAUGCAGGGACCGGAGCAGCGCCGCUGCCUGUUGGAGGAACGGCGCCGACACGAACGCGCCCUCCGGCGACGAUGACGAGGCGGCCAGCGUGCCGUGGAGUUCGUCCAGGCCGUGCGCGAUGGAGGAGUAGAAUCCGUUCAUGGCGACUCUAUUUGUUGUAUAACUGGGAGCAGCAGAGCAGAGCAAAGAUCGAGAUGAGAAGAGAGUGUGGUGCAUGGGAGUGGAGGCUCUGCGCUGAGCUGGAACAGAGACUCUCGGUCAGCUUAUAUAGAGGAAGACUAGAAGACUGGACUUAGAGUGAGGGCAGUGAGUUGUACUAUGGGGAAGCAAUGAUGGUUUGUCCGGCGGUCAGGGGGAAGGAUGAUUGGGGACUGGGCUGGGCAGCCAUUGCCAGGACUCCUGUAUGUGCUCCUCCUCUUCAUGACCAUUCUAAUGGCAUUGCCAAUGCUUGAGAGCUAGUCCUACUAGCAUGCAAUGGAAUGCAUGGGAAAAUGUACUUACUCAGCCUAGCUAGCUGCCACAGCCAUUUUAAUUUCCCCAUGAAUAUCCCACCAGUUAAUUUCCCCAUGAAUAUCCCCCCACUCCAGUACUCCUACUCCAAUUCUUGUCUUGAGUUGCAUACUGCUGGUCCAGAUUCAAGGGUAGGGACCAUUUGCCAUUGACAGUGUACUACUGGCGAUUGAUUAUGAAGUUGUUGGUGCUAAUCAAGGACUCACUAGUGCUACUACUACUUGAGCAGACAGCUGUCAUCUGCUGCUGCUGCUGCUUUCCAUAUUCUGAAUCCGGGUGGGAGGGAGGAAAAAGGAGGGGGGCCAAUGUGCCGGGCCUCUGCUGGGAGCACCAUCAAUAAGCAGCAAGGAAGCAAAGAGAAGCAAGCGCUGGCUGCACUGCACUCCCCUGUCUGGCCUUCCCAAUGCACUCAGCCACCUGUUAGUCCAGAAAGGAAACAUUUUUCCUGGAUACAUGAACUCUAUGGAGUAUAUUGACCAUUGCAGCCACUGUGGGUACUUCUUUGCAACAACAUAUAUAUAUAUAUAUAUAUAUAUAUAUAUAUAUAUAUAUAUAUAUAUAUAUAUAUAUAAUAUAUAUAGUAUGGCAGCUAGCUGCAAGCAAAUGUGUUUGUUUUCUUGUUCUUUUUUCUUUUGUGCAGGCCUGAAGAGGAGCUAGCUUCUUCUUCUUCGAGAUGCAUGGGAUGCGUUGCUGCAUGAGCCAAUAGGAGCAGAGGAGUAUGAGGACAAAGUUUCAAAGGUGGCAGGGAGUCCUAGAGAUGUGUCGACAAGGUGAGCUGUACUCUACUGCUUACUUGCCCGUGGAUUAGUGGGGCACUUAAUUUAAUUUGCUUGAAUUGAUGUUAGGAGGAAUGAUGGGUUUCCUUGUACCCGUACAAAUCUCUCAGUCCGCGGCCAACACAACCCCCAUGCUUCCAUGCAAUGCAAUGCCAAUGCAAUGGCUUGGCCGCCUUUUGAGGUCCUUCUCCCUCUCGCCCGGGCCUCCAGUCCGGCAAUCAUGCCCAAUAUAUGCUCUCGUGCCCCCUUCUUCUUCCUCUCCAUUAUGACUACUCCGUUUCUCUAGGGCACACGUCGGGCCCCGCAUGUCGGUCAAGCCCUUGAGAAACUCAUGACAGUCUUAAUUCCAACACACAACUUCUACAAAAAAAAAAUGUUUCUAUUGUGAUGAUACUGUGUAAAUUAAGAAGACUACAAAUUAGUCUGGAUUGACAACAUUUCUAACAUAGUCUAUGUUGCUUGUAAAACAUGCAUGCUUGUAGUAUACUAGUACUGCAUAUAUGCGGUGGCUUCAUUAUAGUAUUAGGAUUGUCUUUUUGGUCCAAUCCAAUUCAAACACCACAGCUUCAUCGGUGCAUGCAAUCCAUCUCGUGGCAAGUGCUAAACCCUUUUAAGAAAUGGAGCUCGUGGGGUUUUGGGAGGAGGCGAGGGGGAUGUGGAUUUGGUUGGGGAAAUCAAAGGGGAUGUGUGUUGUUUCCUUUGCCCUAACCAAGAACAAAGAUUAAUUAAGCUAAAUCUUACUCCAUGAUCCAUGCAUCAGCUAGGAGCUACCUUUGAAAUACUACUACUACUUGGCCAGCCGUGCCGUACAUGCUGCGUGGUUGACCGGUGGGGGUCCAAGCACCACUCAUCGGCCGGCCAUGAAUAUUCUUCUUGUCCUCUUCCUGCUCUCUCUCUCCAGUCCUAUAAUCCAUGCAUUCAUCUCACUAUGUAUAUAUAGGCUCAUUGCAAAUUAAACAGAUCAUAAAAAGCAAAGAUCAUCUGUUUUUUUUAUUUAGAUCAAGACGGUUCGACUCCCAUAAUUGAAUUAGAUGAAAAGACCAUCUGCUAAACGUUUGCCAAACAGAAGAACAUACAGUUCAUAUGCAAAACACUUUUAUUGUCGGAAAAAGCACAUUUUUUUGGUGUGUGUUCUAUCUAAUCAACUCUCUGUGUCUUAUGUGUUAUAUACUAUCUAAGUAAACUGUUUCCUGCAAAUUUUUCCGUGGCGCGGUCUCUAUUCCGCAUCCGCAAUAUAUCCUCUCAAUUUCUUCACAUAUAAAUUUCCAUGAAUUAAUUUGGUUUUCAUAGCAACGAGAUCCAAAAGGGCAUUAAUUAUCUGCCUGCCUGCCACAGUAAUUUUACUUCUUGGAUAUACACACAUAUAUAGUACACUUACUAUUGGCGACCUUGUCCUGGACGCAUAACUCCAUUGUUUGCUCGAACUUGUAAAACAGGUGGUCACGGAUAUAUCUACGUGGCACACGUAUGCAUGUCUAGUCCAAAUUAGCAUAUGGGUUGGCGGCAACAGCAUGCAUACAUGAAAGCAGCAACGGCUAGCUUUUAAUUUAGCAUGUCUGGUCAGUCACACACACACACACACACACACACACACACUAAUUUUCUCUCUUCUUUUUUCAAAAUUUGUACAGACAUUAUUAUGAAAAUUAGCAGUACUACACUGCCAGUACAGAGUACUACUGCUACUGCUAGGUCUCAUGAUCAAAGUUGCUAGCUUAGCUAGGUGUGCUGUAGAGCUGUAGGAGUGUAGUAGUAGCUUGCAAUGGUGUGGCUGCUGGCUUGACCAGAACUUUGAAAAAUGCAUGCAAUGCAUCUAUGCUUGGACAGCAGCAGUCUACUACUACAAGUACUUAUCACUCUACAUACAGUACACAGAACAGAGAUCAAAGUUGCUGCUGCUGUUGUUCUUCUGAAGCAGCAGCCAUGCAUGCAUAAGGCUGACAGACGGUGGUGUUCUGUAUUAUAGCGUAGCUGGUUCUCGUUUGAUUACUGCUGUCAAGAGAACCCCGUGCGAUGCUACGGAACAACGGAAAGUGUAUCAAGCACGAGCCGGUGGAGGCGAAGUCUGGACAUUGAUCAACCGGCGCUCCCCUUUGAGUUGAGAUCUGCAGGCGCCUCCUCAGCCUCGUCAACGACGGUGUGGUUCUCGCUUCCCAGCAGGGGUGGAGAUCUCCAGCGGGCUUCUGCUUCCCUGUCUCCGUCACGCCUUGUAUCCUCGAUGGGGGUCUCUGGGUCGGUGGUCAGGGGCCGGACGAAAUCCCUGCCCGGCUGCGUCCGGUGCCAACGACGGCGACGCCUACGGGCGCCUUUACCUCCUUGGAGGCGUGGUCGUGGCCCCUGACCAUUCCUUCUCCAUCCUCGGGCUCCAGGGGAAACCCUUGGUUCGGUUUGCCAUGGCUCCGAAUCAGGCAGCAGCAGCGACACCUUGGCAUCGUAUCCUCCUUGGAGGCACUGCUUUGGUAGCCCGUGGGAGUUCGAGUGUCGUGGCAUGAGAUGGCAGCCUCUCUAUUCUUGGCGGCGAGGCUUGGUGGUAGCGCGAAGCCGGUGUUGAUCCUCUGCUCUGGGCGUUGGACUUCAAGGCGCGAUGUUCGUCACUAUCGGUUCCCUAGAUGAUGCAUCCUUCCCAAUUCAGUCUGGUCCAUUCCUCUACUUGCCGACCGGGGCUUGAUCUGCUUCCAGAUUGGCCUCCCUUCUUAGGCGUAUUGUUGGGGGUUGGCCAGGGUGGUCUUGGUGUCAUGGUCGCAGAUUUGGGUGUCCUGCAGCUAUCGUGAAGCGGCCUUCAAGGUCUUGUGCUCUGCCUUCUUUGCCCUAGGGCUGGAGGUGGGCAAGGCGAGUCUCAUGUCAUUGUGGUUUGAAGCUUGGUGGUGUCUCUUUAACCUGCUCUGACCCCAAGUUGGCUCAAGAUCUGUUGGCUGUAGGUCUAGGCUAGCUAGGGCUCCGUCUUAGGUCGUCCGGAGAGGACGGUCAUGUUUUUUCUUGCUUGGCCUCGCCGUUGGCGGGUGCGGUGCAUAUGUUGUAAAUCUUGUAACUUUUGGUUACUCACGCUUCUUUGCGCUUUCUUCUUAAUGAAAAUGACAUGCUUCCAGGCGUGUUCGAGAAAAAAAAAUUAGAGUCUGUUUUGAGGAACAAAUUGGCAGUUAAAUGCUUGAAGUUCAGUUCAGUUUGCUGCUGGAAUAAAGAAGAAACAACAAUUUUGAAUUGCGAUGAGAUCUAUCGAAGAACACAGCUAGCUCAUAUAUAAUGCUCUCCAUGGAAUUUGGGGUGAAAAAGGGAAGGAAAGAAGAGGAAAGCUGAAAAGAGGCAACUAAAGGAGAUGCUAGUCAAGUGUUCUCCAAAUUUUGUGUUGAAUGGCGGCUAUAUUCAUGAGUAGCAGCAAGUAGCCUAACUAGUCAAGUGUCCUUGCUGUGAUGAAUUGAAGCAGGCAGGGCAGAGCAGAGCUGUGUGUCCUCCUAGAAGCUAUAGCUAGACCUGAAGAAAGUGCAUAUCCUCCUCUAUCACUUUUCUCACCGCCAAGUUGUAAAGGGGAGAAAGACAUGCAUGGAAACUGCAAAGUUGCCUCGCUUUUACAAACCAUUGCCUUUUUGCAGGAUCUGAUCUCUAUUUCCUUUCCUGUUACCUCUCCAUGCAGCUGCUAUGCUGCUAUAGUAGCGUAUGAUCUUGGCCAUCCAUGCAUUUCUCCGUCUUGUAGCUCGGCUCGGCUGCCUAAUUGCUGGCUAUGUUGGUUGCUUUCUGGAGACAGAGAGGGAGAAUAUGCUCCAUGUUGUCCAAAAGGGAAACGCAAAAUCAAUUGCAUCCACGGUGGUUCGUUUCUUUCCUUCUCCACACUGUCUUUCUGUCUUCUUUUCUUUCUCUCUUACGUUUGUAUUUCUGAAUGAAUUGGUUGUGGUUUUACAUGUAUGUUGAUUUUUGUUUUAAAGCGUUUGCACCAACAUAUAAUACAGGCAGUUUUUUUUACAGUGCAAGAAAAGGAGAAGGACAGAAAUGAAGGGAAGCUGUAUAACUUUAACACAGCUGCUAUACAACUAUACAAGAGAAGAAGCAGAGACUCUGACAUUGAACUUGAUCAUGGGCCAUUUGGAAUAUGCUCUGACAUGGAGGUGGUAAACAAGCUCAAUCGGUUUAUCAAAAACCAGCAAGGUACAAGCAAGGGUCCAGACACUGAAGAACUGAACAAAAAGCAAGAUAAACCAGGCGAGAGAACCGCCCAGCAAAGUUGCAGACGCUAAACUAUCAGAACAACUACAAGAGUCACAAAACAUCACGAUAAGAAACAGAAAGGCUCAUUUGUGUACUAAGAUGAUAUAACUUUGCAAUAAAAUUGGCUGUGCGCAUCGUUUCAUCGUUUCGAUGCAGAGGCCGGGAAGAACCCCUUUUCGAAAAAAAACGGUUCGUCCUUUUCCAAUGAGCGUUCUCUAGCAUGAAUUCGAAUGUAAUUCGUGCACGUAAAUGAGUGGAAAAAAGAAUGCUGUUGCAAGGGGUUGGAUCAUACUGUCUAGGAGAUCUUAUCUAAUGACAUACAAACAGGAGGCGCUCGUGGCCUAAUGGAUAAGGCAUUUGACUUCUAAUCAAAGGAUUGUGGGUUCGAGUCCCACCGAGCGUGUUCUUUUUUCUUAAAUUUUUUUCAUUCAUUAUGCUUCCCAUUGAAACUUAUUUUCUUCAGCGCAUGCUAUUCAUAAGUCGUCUAAAAAGGAAUUUUUUUUUGUGCCAAAUUUUAGCAGUAAUCUUGUUGUAGCAUCGGCAACCCCAAUCAUGAAAAUAUAAAUUCAUAGAAGUGCCAGCAUAAGAUAAGAUGCUAUUAAUUUGUCCAGCAACUGAACACAGACGCUAGAAAAAUUCAGAUCAGGAUUCCAAGAACAAUAAACUGGGUGCAGCGACCAGCAUUAAAGCUUAAAGCAAUAGGGAUUGUAAUCCAGGGGUCAUCAAACAUAGUAGCAUUGUCACUGACACCAAAAAGAAUGUAUAUAUGCUGGAGCCUUUCUCUAUGCCAAAAUGCUGUUUAUUAAUUGUCUCUAUGAUUGUCAACAGCUAGGGACUAUGCAUUGUAUUGCUUCCUAGAUCUUCUCUUGCUUUUCGCCUACGAGGGGGAGCAUCUCCAUCCGGCUUCUCGGGGUCCGCGGGCUCAGGGUGGCGCCUUGCUGGGAGAUGAGAUGCCUCACGUAGCCGUAGAAGGUGCAGCCGACGAGCGUGAUCCCGCACCCGACCGCGUUCAUGGCGGAGAUCGGGUUCCGGAAGAUCAUCCAGGAGAUAAGCACCGCAGCAGCUACCUACACAGACCCAUCAUGGUACCAUCAGUUUCCCAAUGCUGAACUUUGUUUGUUGGACUGAAGAAGCAGAGUGAAGAGGAAUGGGGAUAUCAGUGCUCUCACCUUGAGGUUGCCGGCCACGUUGAAGGUCACGGCGGUCGUCGAAUGGAUGACGUAGAAGAUGGAGAAGUUGAGGCAGAAGGCGAGAAUUCCUGAGGUGAUUAUGAUGAUCAGUGCAGGGACAGUUGACUCGUAUGUGUAUAGCCAGUUGAUCACGCCGCCCCCUUCGAGUACAAUCGCUGGUACUGACAGUAUCAUGGUGGCAAAGGGUGCCAUGUAGUACACCGUGUUAAUGCUGCAGAGAGAAAAAAGGAACAGAAAACACAGGUAACCAAGAGGAAAAAUAUGCAAUAUCGUAAUUGAUCGUGUAGGUACUAUGAAAAUAUGAAGAAAUUCUACAUAGCAUGAUGACAACAGAAGCGCUAUUACAUUAUCCAUGAAUAACUCUGUUAAGAACUAUUGUGAAUUAUCAGAUGACAAGAACUACUUCCCCUUUUAUUUUUACUUUUUCUUGUUGUGAAGCUCAAACAGAUGCUAUAAGAUCAUUUCCUCUGUAAACUGACUGGAUCACUGUUUACCUGUCAAAUUUGUAUCCAUGGAGUAGGGAUUCUGCCAAGAUGGUCUUUGUAGACGUGGCGAGGCAGCCAACCAUGGCGGCACAAAAACCAAACAUGUUGAAGCUAAGCUCAGUUACUGAAGUCAAGAGGAUUCCCCCCACAAUAGGAACCAAUGAAGCCCAUAUGCGCCACUCAAAGUAUUUCCUCCAGACCAACCACUGCAGGAUAACUGUUCUACAACGAAUCAGAAAAUGACGCAACAGCAAGUGCGAAAAAGGCGUCGUCCUCGAAGAUGAACAAAUCAGAGAACCUGUCGUUGCAGGAGUGAAGGAUUUGAUAGUCUGCAUGAAGGAGACUGGGAUGUACCGCAGGCUGACAUUUCCCAGCACGAUGUUUAUGCAGAACACAAAUGACAUGGGGAAUAUCCUUUUCCAGCGAUCCUCGGGGGCAACCUCGAUCAGCGGUUUUAUCUUGAGCAUUUUGAUUGCGAUGUAAGCUCCGAUGGAAGAGCAUAUGAAGUGGACGCACGACACGGUCAGAGGAAAUUUGAACUCCAGUUUCUGCAUCCCAAGAAAAAAAAAAUCAAGUUCAUGCUUUUCUGCUGAGGAGGCUGCAAUAGUGCCACUGCCAUGAACUAAUUGUCAGUUUAAACUUGAAAGCAAAAAAAUGUUCAUUCCAAGAGAAAGAUGGUGGCAGAAGCCCAUGAGAAACAUCAGUCAUAUCGACUCUUCUACAUGUCAUUUGCGAUUAAGUAUGUUCUCAAAUAUUAUGGUACUAGUCCACAAAAACAUAUUAGCACAUAAUCAAUGUUAACUCCGAAGUCUGAACCUUGGGACAUUUUUCAGCUCACUAACGAAAUGGCUCCCAUCUCCAAUCCAUUUUGCGGAUUGUAAUCUACAUUAAAACCAAUAAUUACCAUCCCAAAUAUUUCCAAUCCUUCAUGUUUCUGAUUCUUCUUCCCACAAAUAUCUUCGUCUUAACUCCAAACCUAAUCCUUUUGUGGAGAAACCUAAUUCCAACAAUUUACAGCCAUGAAAAAGGACAAUCCCUUCAUAUUCCUAACAACAUGAUAAAUCAAAAGCCAGCUAAUCUGCUCCCCUGAUUGCGCAGAUCAACCCAUAAACAUGAACAAAUCCUCCGGAAGACGAGGAAAUCGAGAAUAUAUAUUGAAAGAAAAGUUGUAAGCAGAAUGGGACGGAGGGAGAAGAGCGGCCGCGAGACGGACCUGGAAGAUCCAUUUGUUCAUGAUGAUGACGGUGACGUUGAAGCACCACCAUUGGAGGAUGGCCAGCACCGCCCUCACCGUCGCCACGUUCCCCAUCUUCCCUUCCUCCAUAUGCAGCGCACAAAAACAACAAAGAUCCCCUGGAUUCAAUUCCAAUCCCACUAAAAAAGAAACGCCUUUAAUUUCUUCCAGCCGGAGUCCAGGAGAGAAGAAAAAGGCAGAAAGAGACAGAUGCUGGAACGGCUGGCGUAUUUAUGUGUAAUUAAUCAGUGGAAAACUCCUCUUGAUGAUCCAUUUGUGGAAGGCAGCAGGCUGGCUUCUAGAAGACCAUGGUGGUUCUUCUAGAAGGUUCCAGAAGCCGUCAAGGCGUCAGGAGAAGAGGAGGAGGAGGAGCUAGAGGGGUUUCGCUUUCGGUCGUAGGAUUUGCAGGUUGUGGUUUUUAGGUUGAGAGUUCGAUUGGUGUGAUUCUUGCCUCUCAUAAUACGUGUUGCCACUCUUCUUCUUCUUCUUCUUCUUCUUCCUCCUUCUUCUUCUUCUUCUUCUUCUCUUCUUGUAUACGUCAGCCUAGCCAGCUCAGGCUUGGACACGUGUCACGUGGGACCGUCUCAGCCGAGCUUGGACACGUGUCAUUUAAAAACUGUUUAAUGGGUCGACAUAUGGGCCUCUCUAUGAGACUCCCCUGGGACCUCCAACCAAUCCCUGCAUCUGCACAGAACACACCAUUCUUCUGAUGAAAUCAACAGCAUUUCAAGCUCAGCUCACCCGUAGAAAAGCCAGCUUGCAGCAGCCUUCUUCCCCUUCACCACCAACAAUUAUUUUACAUUCCCAAUCACAAAUCGAUAACAGAAAGCACAAACAAGUAGCUAGUCAAACAUUGUUCUAAAAUAUAUGUUCUUCAUCAUCAUAGAUCAGAGGGAUAAAAACAACAGGUGAUGAAGCACAAAACGUUGUAAACAAAACAGCAUCAUUCGUUGCUUACAGCAAACACCGAAUUAACCUCCCUUCUCCACACAGAAAGGGAAACAUCAAAUGGAGUAAUAACGUUCCAUGCAGAAACAGCCAACAUAAACAGUCUUCAACAGGUAAGACUUGUCCCUGUAAAUGUCAACUGCACAACUGACUGGUUGAUUCAACCAGUCAUGUCAGGGUACUGUAUAUGGCCCCUUCAAAGAGGGGGCCGCCAAAAGGAUCAUCCUUUUUCUUCUUUGAAUGUAAGCUUGGCCAAGCAAAAUGUUGCGGAAGAUAUUCUGCUUAUUACGUCUCUUUGCCACCAACUAGCUAAGAAUCCGACUGACUGGCAUGCUUCAUGUUCUUAUGUCUCUUCAGGACAGACAACUCGUACUUUUGCAUCCCUUCCCUCGCCCUCCGUAGACUGCACGACGGGCAAUACCACUGGCCUUUCGGGAUGCAGGUGCGCUUCGGCGUCAUGCAGUAUAUGUGAUAAGCUUCGUCACAGCCGUCGCACAAGGCGAUAUCUUUGUCAUCCUUAUUCUUGAAGCAGCAUCUGCAGAGACAGGACGGGCAGUACCAGCAUCCGAGGUUUUUCUGCUUCUCAGACGCGAUCUGGCUUUCUCUGAGGCAUCGGAUGUGAUAGAAUUUGUAAGAGCAGUAAGGAUGACCACAUACCAAGAAUCGCCUGUCGUCGUCUUCGCAUGUGCCGCAGUGUUUGCACAGCUUUGCAAGGGCAGUUGUGCACAGGUCUGGCUCGUUGUCUUCCACCACGCAUGGCACGGAGCUCCCCUCUCUUUCAUCAGCUAACUCCAUUCCACUACCAAUUUCAGGCGGUUCUAUUUUCUCAAGGACUUCAAGCCUGGCACACAGAGGACAACCAACAUGCAAACUGUUCUUGUGAACAUUUUUCAUGAUGUCUGCAGCUGACCCCUUCCCCUUAUUGCUGCAGGCCGGGCAGUGCCAGGUUGCUGGGAUCUGUUUCAUAGCAGGAUGGAGUCGCUUGACACAGUCAAAGUGGUACGUGCUGUCACAUCCAUCACAGAUAAGUCUUUUUUCUUCUUCUGCACCGUCUCCACAUUGCUUGCAAGUGCAAAUUCGACGAAGUCCACCUGUCUCGGUUCGCUUUGGAAUUGUAGAAUGACCAGAAUCACAUGGGGAGAACUGCACGGUGGUAGUCGAACCCUUUGGGAUUUUGUGGACGACACCAACCAAGCUUGUUUCCUGGUGAAGAAUGCAAUUAGUAAAAGGUGUUAAUAGAGUGCAACAACAACAAAAAAUGACCAGCAGACUGUCUCCAAACACACCAAUUACCUCUAUCCGGCGCUCAGCAGCAUCCUCUGCUUCAGAAACUCCAGAAGUCUAUAAAGAAUAUAUCGUAAGCAAUGUGCAGUACCAGCAUAAAAGCCAACAAGUUAAAGACUCCACAAUAGCUUGAAGCAUGGUCGUGGAGAAAAUAACUACAAAUUUACCUGCUUCUGAUAAGAAGCUCGUGAAAUGAUUGGAAGAUUGCUUGCUAGACAUGUCAUCUCCCGGCCAACUCGUUCAAACUUCUCCCAUGUCUACAUCAGAAACAAAUAUCCAUACAGAUACAUGAAUAUGAUGACACUUUACUCAGAAUAUUGUUUGCCUGAAUGUUAUGCAACUUCAGGUGAAACAACAAUAGCAAGCAAGCAGUUUCAUUGAGCACUGCUCCUAUACUAGCUACAACAUGGAAUGUGCUACUUAGAAAACAUGAUUCAUCCUCCCUUGGGAGUCUCCUGGUUGGAUGAUUCAAACUGUUUGGAAGGCCAAGGCAGCUAAUGUGCAAUCAAAUGGUGCAAACAUAGGAACUAGUUUCAGAACAACAGUGUAUAAAGGGCUUUCUCUACUCUGCCAAGUAAAGUGAAGUUUAUGUAUCUAUACUAGAUAAAGCUCAAGAAUAAACAAGAAAGCAGUUAUUUUUUCCGAUGAUUGAGUAAAAUGGAGAUAAAGCUACCUGCUGGAUAUCUUUGUUGAACAACGCCGGAUUCUGUGCAUAACUUCCGUUUCUCAUGUUGGCGUCAAUUCUCCCCAAAUCAAUGACCUCAUGAACAUUAUUCACAUGGAAAGUUUCAACUAGCAGAUCACACAGCAGGGCAAAUUUCUCAGAGACUAAAAUGUCAAGGAGAGCACUGUUGCACAUUGCUGUGUUGGCAUCCAAAGAUGCUGCAGUUGCAUCUUUUAACGCAACAAAGGAACAAAUCUCUUUCGCAUCCGCCAGCCCAGUAGGAUGCUCAUCUGACGAAUCUUGGGCCUUCCCAAGGUCACCCUGGUAAUCACAGAAGUUCACCGUCAGUUUCAUAUCACAGUAUAACAAGGUUGCUCUUUUUAUUAAAUAGAUAUGAGAAAAGCAAAGAAGAUGAUGACUGACUUGUUGUUCAGAUUGGCAGCGGUUGUAUCUGAGAGCGUCACAGAUGCAGCUGUGAAUCCCACCGCCCUUAUUUAUACCUGGGGCUUGCAGGUAGCCCUCCAAUGUGUUCUUCCAAGUAAUCCAAUGCCUGGCCAGCAUUGGGUGCCCAUCUUGGCGAGAAUUGCCACCGUACAGCAUCAUGGCGGCACUAGACUGCACGGAAAUAAAGCAACCAAGCACAUUGGACACGGUUCGGUUAUGUAUUACAGUAUAAAAUAGGCAUCUCAGGAGUCAGGAGACAGAAUUCCUAGGAACAAGUAGCAGGAGCCGAGAUUCAGAGCAAUUCGAAAGAACAGAGUGAGCAAAUCUAGCCGCGUGAAAUGAAAUCUUGGCUGGAGUGCUUAUGGCACCAGGAAGCCAGAGAUGUCCCAGUUGCAACAGCGGAACACGGCGGCGGGCGGGCGGGGGGAAGAAAGAAUGGAAGACGGGGAGAGCAGGGGUUAGAUGCGAAAGCUUGGCUCACCUGUCCGGGGUCGGAGCUGGCGCCGCCGUCGGCGCGGGAGGCGGCGCGGCGGCGCUUGCGCGUGUAAGUGAGGACGCCGCCGCCGCUGCUUCCGCCGGGGGUCUCCGGGGCGCGGCGCUUGGGCGGGACCGGCGGCCGGCUGGCGCCGUCCUGGGAGGCGGACAUCUUGGCUCCCGUCCGGCGAGGCUACAGCAUGUGUUUUCCCCGGCGAAGAGCGGGGCCUAGACUGGGAACUCAGCGGGAGCGCAGCCGCGGCGGGGAGGACGGCCGAGGGGGCUGGUUUCUAGGGUUUGCGGAGGGGCGGUUUGCUGGGGAAGGAUUUGGGGAUUUGUGUGGGGAGCGAGGAGCGGGAGGAAGGAAGAAGAAGAGAUUUUGCGAAACGGAAACGGGGAAAGAAACGGAAACGCGGACGGACAGGCUGUGUGUGUGCUCGCCGUCACGGCUGCCUGCUUUCAACUCUCUCUCUUCCGUCUCCACCAAUUCAAAGUGCUCACGAAAUUGGCAGCGGACGUUCGUUUGGUAUGCUUAGGGGGCGACAUCCCCGGUGAGGAGAUAUACGGUGGAGGAUGAGGCGUUGGGUCGGUAGGCUUAGGGGUCCACGUCUCCGGUGAGGUUUGGUAGGAGGAGAUAUACGGCGGAGGGUUGGGUCGGCAUGCUUAGGGGGUGACAUCUUCGGCGUUGUUGGGGUAGUAGGAGGAGAAGGAAAGGGGGAAGGGGGAGGACGGCUGAUCGUGGUGACGGUGAGGUUGUAUGUAUAGGUGGCCAACUAAGCGGAAGGAUUCGAUUUUCGUUGGUGAGGAAAUGUCUUCCCGUGGCUGUGUAAGGAAGGAGAGGCCGUGUCAAUAGGAAAUGAGCGAGAAGAGGGGCAGGAGGAAGGAGAGGCGGCUGCAAGAGGGGAGGAGCGACGAGAGGCAGACAGGGAGAAAACCCUAAUAAGGCAACAGCUGUAGGGCUAAAUGGGCUAUAGUCCAUAGUUGGGUUGUGCUUUCGCUCUCUUCUUUUUUUCCUCAUGUUCCCCGUUGUUAUCCCAGGCCUUAAUCGCUCUCUUAUUUUUUUUUCCUUGUUGGCCCGUUCGGGCAGCCCAAGCACUGUAUACGCGAGUUGGGCACCGGGUGGAAACAAAAUGUCAUCCACUGCCCAAUGCCUUCCCAAACCUUAUAGGUCACUACGUAUUCAACACAAGUAAAGAACUUCGUACCAAACAUUCAUUUGGUAAUGCUUACGGACGAUCUCUUCUAGGAGGAUAUGUGCGGGACAGGAGAUGUCGAAGAGAAGGUAAGAUGGGAAGACAAAGGACCGCUGCCCUUGACAACGCGUUUGUACGUGUCAAACAGUAUUGAAACAAGUAGAUAACUUUGCACCAAACUCUUAGCUCGGUAAUGCUUAGAUGGCGAUGUCUUUUGUGCCGCUUCGGUAGGAGGAAAUGUGUGUAGAAGAGAAACCGAGGAGGAAGAAAAUAAGGGGAAGGAACGCAUGCAGCUGACCUUAACAAUGGCGAAGUCGAACGAAUCACUUGGUGUGGCCACAAGACGACGGCGUGGUCGAAUGGAGUGGCUGAUCCAAGCGGGCGGUGCCCCCACUUGACCACGGGACAACGCCGAUGGCUUGCGGGACGACGACGAUGUUAGAUCUAAGAAACGGUGUGGCGGCGGAUCUGAGAAGAAAGAGGCGGAGGGGAAAAGAGGGUUUGGGAGACUAACCAUACGUGGCUAUAAAUACAAUCGAUGAUGUCCUGGGAAAACAUGAGGCGCAAUUGCGGAGGCAAAUAAAUGUACUACAUAAAUGAGCCAAUUUUGUGAGGAAAUUUCUCUCUUUCAUAUCAGAAAGUCUGUAUGUACGACGAUUUCGUGUGAUCUACUCGCCGAUCCAUAAUAAAUGAGCGACACUUCUUAUGGAUCUGAGGGAGUACUAAAUUUCCUCAAGCCCAAGCCCAAGCCCAGAUGGCAAUGCUAGUAGUUUGUCUUUCAUAUAGCUUUGCUAGGCCAUCUGUAUACACGCUGAAAAAAAAAAUUGCAGGCCAUGCCAGCCAGCCUCACAAAGUCAGGUGACUUAAGUCAGAGAAUACUGGCUGGUGUCAGAUGGUAGCUAAUUCCAGUUAAAUGUUGUCAAUUUUCAAAGCAGAAGCAUGAAACUACAAAAAAUAGUGGCAAUACAGAUAUGCGUAUAGAAUAUUGAUUUGCUAUCUUUCUUUCUUUUUGCAAGGAAAGUGCCAUUCCCUUGCCUGAGGAUACUAUAUUUACCACUGCCGCGUCGUUUCUCCCCUCGGCGGCAGUGAGACAUCAUAUCAGAAGGCGCUGGAGACUACAUAGCCUGCCAACGAAGAACAUCACACAGCAUGAUCCAGCAACGGGCCGCUCGCUUUGCCUCUAAAUGAGGUUGUCAUCCCUUCGCCAAGCCUUUUACCUGAACAUGGUGUGCUCAUCCCGUUAGAUGAAGACCUCAAUCAAAUUGUGAACUGGACAGAUAAGAUGUUGGAUGAUGCAAGAUAUGACAAUUUUGAUGUGAAAAGGAAAGACCAAAUACUGGCAAGAUCUCUAUACGUGAUAUCAUAAUAGUCAAUAGAAGAUCAGCAUGAGUGGAAUCACAUAAGUAAUGUCAUAAAACUUAUCAUCAGGGCUUACUCUCUAUCAAGUCAAAAAAGGAAAAUUUGCAGUGGCUGGUAUAGUUUAAAACAUGGUGAAAAGGAAAAAUUGCAGCAGCGAGGUGCUAUGUAUUAGAGCUCUUUUACGGUACCCCGGAAUUAAUAUUGGCCAUCCAUUCACCCCAAUCUAAUGGCUAUUGUUAUCGGGUACUCCACCGAUGGUUCUCUGGAGUACUACCUCGAAAAGGCACGGAGUACCUUGUUACAAGGGGUAAAAUAGUAAUCAGAGACUUUCUUAUUUCUCAUUAGGGGCAAUCUCUGAGUUUUUCCUCGCAAUCAACAUGAAAACAUUCCCCGUGUGAAAAAAUUAUAACCCGAUGAACCCUAAUUCUAAACAGGUGAGACCAUCAUCCAUAGAUUCAAUCGUAGGUCUAAAAUAAAUCAAUGGUAGAGAUGUAUAAUUGAUCCAAGAAUCCACUAGGAGGCUGCACAAUUGAUCAAUCCAUACGUGCUGUCGCUGCUGUGAUCCAAGAAUCCACGAGGAGUCUGCACAAUUGAUUGAUCCAUACAUGUUGUCCUUGCUGUGAACAGCGCCAUCAGAAUCCCGGACAGCGCUGUGCAGCCUGUAGCGGGUGAGCGGCGCGUGCGAUCAAGAAUAAAAGUGAACCAUCGACGGCGGGCAGAUCUGGCGGCUAGACAGCGGCGUGACCGACGGGGGCUUGAUCGUUCGUCGCCUCGUCGGUGGCCAGACGCGAGGGCAGGGCCGCUCGAUCAGCACUGUUCAGUCAAAACAGCCCUUACAAAAUGUCCAAAUUACCCUCAUGUUUGGACGGCCAGAUUUAUUUGGUACUCCAAUCCAUGCCAAAGAGUACCAGGGUACCGUAAAAAAGCUCAUGUAUUAUUGGUAGCUGGCUUCAACAAGUCAUGACAACUUGAAAUUUAAAUACAGUGAAAACAUGUGGAACUUUGUCAGGAUCAGAAGACUUAUUCUUAACACCGUUCAUCAUGUUGAGAGCACAGGGUUUGCAUAAACAAAGCAAAAACGCGUAAACCUCAGCAACCUAACAACUAAGAACUCACUUGCUAUUAGUUUUAAUUUGGUAUGGUUUCGUAUAUGUUGGAAUGUUUGAUUUUGUUGGAAUUUCCAAAGUGAACUAAAUGACGUAAACAACAAGCCAGGCAACUGGAAUCUGCAAUCGACAAUGGCAGUAGAAAAGUGUAGUGAUAUAUGUAUGUACCUGGGAGAAGAUGAGCAGCCGGAACUGUUAUGGGUCACAGAGAACACAUUGGAGAGAGACUUUGUGAGGUAUGCAAAGUUUGGUAUCGGCGGCAACGCGGGCACACGCUCCCCUUUCCUCAGCAGCUCCUCCAAGUCGAGCCUUUGCAAAGUGAGUACAGACUUGUUGUCUCUCCAAACAAAGGCGAGCCGGCCAUCCUGGAGAGCAAAGAGUGACCCGGGCUUUGAGCCAGGGUACCUGAACCCAUACCCCGCUGCAAUGCCCUCCCCGGCAAAGCUUCUCGCAAUGUCCACACGGCGGGAAUCCUCGUCGGACUGCCAUGGAAAUGCCUCUGUCGAUGGCUCGCCCAUCCGCGCGAUAAACAUGGCCGACCCAUUGGGAUGCACGACAUAGUGUGUGCCCUCCAACACCUUGGUUGCGAUCAGCAUAAGCUUCCUCUCGCUGUCUUCCUCGUAGGAGAGGAGCAGGAAGAAGAGGGCCUUCCGUGGUUUGCGGUCAUCCUCCGGCCGCCCCGGUGGCCACCCGAAUGUGCCUCCCCACAGUCCGGCAUACUCCCGGCCGGGCACCGGCGCCUGUGUCGCCAGCUUGUAGAGCGCGAACCGGUUGCCAUGCAUGCUUGGCCACGCUCGGUAGGUCGACAGCCGCAGCUGGGCGCCCCGGAGGCUCAGGCCAACGCUCUUGCCGGCGCGCAAGAACUCGUCCAAUGCCAGAUGCUUGCUGCCUCCGAACUCUACCGUUGAAUUGGCCGACGCAGAGCGCGUCACCAUCUGCAGCAGCCCUUUCCUGACGAACCCGGCCAUCGCAGACAGGCUCCUCCGAAGGGGAACCUUAUCACCUGCAGCAUCGCCGUUCGUCGUCGGCGGCAUCUUCUUGGCUGCUUCCAGCAGCAGAGCCUCGAGCUCUGCCCGGCUCACCAUGCCGCCGCCGGACGACGACGAAUCCUUGUGCAGACGCAGCAUCGCCUCCCGGCGCGCGGCGAGCAAGGGGAGGUCCUCAUCGGAGCGCGCGAAGAGCGGCGCCGCGGCGAGGUCCGGCGGGAGCUUGACGCGGCAGGAGGCGACGAGCGCAUCGAGCAGGCCGCAGCGGUUACCGAAGGAGAGGCGGGAGAAGCUGGAGGAGGAAGAAGAGGGAGAAGGCGCGAGGGCCUCGAGGAGGAGGGCGUUGGUGUUGGGGUGGAGGGAGGAGAGGCGGCCGGGGAAGAGGGAUCCGGCGCCGUGGAGGAAGAGGAGCGCGGGGCGGCCAUGGGCGUCGGCGAGGAGCUCGAAGACGGGCGCCCAGCGGAGGCGCGGGGAGAGCUCCUGCGGGAUGGCGCGGAUGGCGACGAGGGAGAGGAACCCCGGGAGCGCCGCCACCAGGUUGCCCAGCUCCGGGUUCUGCUGCGCCCAGAGACCGCGGAGCGGGGCCGCGGAGUGGAGGAAGCGGCAGACGGUAAGAGAGGAGCCCCCGGCGGCGGCGCGCCAUGAGAGGAGGUGCGACGGCGGGGAAGAAGAAGGGAGCAGGCGGCGGCACUGCGCCAGCCAGGGCUUGUCGGCAGCGGAGAGGGCCGCGUGGAGGCGGCGGUCGGCGGCGGAGAGCGCCAGGAGGUCCCGCGGGCGGAGGUGGGCGGAGAUCAGGGCCAGCACGUCGUCCGGGAGCGCCAGGAUCAGCUCGCCCCCGGCCAUGGAGAUCGGGGUUGGGUGGGCCGUCUGCUUCCUUUCGCCUUUUUCUUUUCUUUUCUCAACCUCAAAAAAGUUCCAAGCUUUAUAAUCCUGCGAGAAGAAGACUGUGAAGAGUGACAAGCUCAGCCUGGUCUUUUUCCUCGGACGAUGAAGAAAUAUCUCUUUUUUUUUGCAUUUCGCUCUCGUGCUAUUCUCGCUGGCCACCUUGCUAAAAUAUCUCGAACCACUGUCUACACCAUUUUAUUACGCUUAUCGGUCUAUUUAUCUGCAGUUUCCUCCACAUUGCUCGACAUUGAUAAAUCACCUUCUCUAGUCACCUUCAUGCACCACAAGCUUCAGUGGAUUUACCAAUAAUUUCUUAACCCGAGUCUCUUUCGGACCCAAAAGGUGGACACACAAACUACGUGAUCAACAAGAAUGAUGUGAUACGAGGCAACAAGCAAGGAUCCGCGUCCGUUCAUGGGUUCGGAGUGUCAAAACUCAGCUCUAUGUUUCGUAGGAUUUUUACAGAAUUUCAAUCCUAGGAGUUUUUUUCUACAUGUAGCAUGGUUUCAGAACGAACAUGUUAGAUUUCUAAGAACUGUAUCCAAAUUGGCAUAAUUCAUAAGGAUUCUAAACAUCAGGUACGAGCUCAUUUAAAAUUAUUAAAGAAUAAAUAUGCAUGACAUUUCAAUCAUCUAUUUUCAUAUUCAUAUGAUUUCAAAAUCCUAUGAACCGAAUAAGCCCUAGGAUUACGACGUUGUCAAGGGUCAAGAAUGUAAAAAAGAAAAGUGUUAUAGAAGGGAAAAAAACGUCACCGUCAAAAAGAAUGAAUUAGUUUUGAUUUGGUCACAAGGUCUAGAAGAAGAAGAUGCUGCUUCUUGGUGGAUGUCAUGUCGACGUCAAGAUCACCUAUUGGCACAUUUCGUCCAGUCGUCGUUUGUAGUUUAUGUCCAGCGAAUUUGAGACCCGGUCAAACAGUGAACUCAUCAUCCUCGACGACUUUGACCAGGGUGGGUCCUUUGGGCCUUAAAAGACUCUCCUCGCUUUGGGCCCAUUAUAUUAGACAAGACCCCUUAUACAAAACAAGAGAGAGGCCAAGCCCAUGAGCAGAAGAACGCAACGGGCUGUGGGCCGGAAGCAGUAUCACCGUGGCAUCGAGAGCAGAUUACUUUUUAUUCGCUCAAACUAACAAUGAAACCUGCCCUAAAAAAAAACUAACAAUGAAUGAUCCCUAAAAAAAAAUUACCACUUGAAUGACAGGUCGUCCUCUACAAUUAUGGUUGUUUACAUGGCCUAAAUCAGCCAACUUUGUCUGACCACUCUGCUCUACGGUCGAAUCUAAGCUAGUAACUUAAUGGGCUUGUUUGGUCCUAAUCAUGGAAGAUGAUGAUUGGUCUAUGACAUAGAUACAGACUGGGACAGGGGCGCCAGACUCGUGCCUAAUCCUUCUUGUUUCAUCCAAGAAAAGUCUUAAGCCGUAUACACUGCCAGCCGGUACGCAUCGCAAUCUCAGGAUGACGCUCAAAUUGUCAAACCAGUUUGUCCUAAGAUGAGUUUUUUGUUUUGUUCAACGUAUAGCUGUAAUGGUCUGAUGGCAAAGAAUCUAACUGAAUGUAUAGCUGCAUGGUCUGAUGACAAAAGAGUACGCAUCUCAGAAAAAUGCGGGCAAGAACACAAGCAAAACCAAAGAUUAAUACGAUAACACACUGUACGAAAUUAACACUGGAUAGAGAUCGAAAAAUAACAAUCAAGAAAUACGUAAAUGUAACCCUGCAAAAGAAACAUAAAUGUACUGCAUAAUUACAGUACACAAUAAUACUUGUUGCAGCAAAACUCUGAUGAUCAUCAUCAUUUCUGAUUGUGAAGACGUCCUUUCAAUGAAAUUCAAUCAAGAAACCAAUUGCUUCAUUGCUCAUGAUAGCUACGAGUAGCUAGUAACGGCAUGAAAUCGAGAUCAUCUUAAUCUGUUUUGCAGCUGAUUGCAUGCUCCUCAUUUCUUGGCGGCGGCAUUGCUGGAGGAGGAAGAAGCUGAAGCAGAGGAGGUCCUCUGUUCGUCGACCUUGUGCACCACCUUGCUCCUGCCUCUGUGCGCCACCAACAUCUUCCUCAGCGCGCGCAUCAUCGCCACCAGCCCCGGCGCCCUUCUCCGGGACGAGCCGCUCCUCCUCGCCGCCGCGACCUGCAGCACCGCCACCUCGCGCUCCUCCUUCGCUGCCCGCCGCCGGCGGGAAAUGUCGAAGGACAGGUCGUCGUCGGCCAAGUCCUCCCUGCCGUCGUCGUUGAGGUCCUCCCACAGGCUGUCCAUCAUCUCCUCUUCUUCGUCCUCGGCUCCGGCGGGGGAGCAGAAAUUGGCGCGCCAUGGCGAUGCGGGAGCGGCGCUGGAGUCCGCGGCAGAGAAGCUGCGGCGGAUGGGCGACGACGAGAGCAGCCACGCCGGCGGCGGAGACGCGGACGCCCUGCUGUAAUUCCGGCGGUGGCUGUAGGUGCUGCUGCUGCAGCAGGCGGCGGCGAGGAGCUGAGGCGGCGGCGUGGGGAAGCUGAAGUCGUCGUCUUGCUCCGCCAUCGCCAUUGCCUAUUCUCUUCUCCCUUCUCUGCUCUGCUCUGUUCUGCUACUGCUGGAUUGCGUCUUGGUGGGGAAGAAGAUGCCAGUAGUGCUUCUGUUACCUAGCUACGUGUUGACUCUCAUCAAAUAAGGAGAGGAAGA